ensembl:snoRNA SNORA70 Small nucleolar RNA SNORA70
AUACAUUUUUAAAUUAAAAGUAACUUUUUUCUUCUCCAUGGGGCCCAGUGUGCAAUGGCUGCAAACAGCAGCCUCCUUGGUAGUGUAUGCAGCCUGUUGAUUGUACAGGUUGCCCUAAGGGACCUUGGAGACAGUU